CACAAUCAAUCAAUGGUGUAGAUAAGGAGGCAUUGGUGGAACGUUUUCUGAAGGAAAAUUUUAAAAACAAAGAGGAUGCCCUCCAGAUGGCAAUCCUAUAUUUCAUACACACUUUUAUCUACUCACAGCUGAAUGCUUCUCCCGUACUAUUUUCUGAUUUCAAAAUGAUUGAAGAUGGAAAAUAUCAAUUCUUUCCUUGGGCUAAAGUGUCUUUCUCUAGGUUGAUGGCCUCACUUAGGCAAGAAUUUUCAAUGGAGAAGCAACUUUAUAGGUUAGUUGGUAUCCCACAGGUUCUUAAUGUGUGGAUGUUUGAACUUUGUUCAAAUGUUGAACCCAAAGUUGCUGUUAAGGAGGGAAAUAACAUACCUCUCAUAUUGAAUUGGAAGGUUGCUGCAGUCCUGCCUUAGUUUAAUCAGUUUAUAACCAGAAUGUUUAGUAAGGUACUAUAAUGAUUGAACUUUUUUCAUACAUUGCAUUAUAGUAUUUGUAGUUUUAAUCGUAAUAAUAAUUAAUGGAUAGUAUUUUUGUACAUAGUAUUCAUAUGCCAACAUUGUUCCUAUUGCGGACGAGUUUGAAAAACUUGAUUUGGCGCGCACUGGUUUUGCAUCUGAACAGCAUGGUACAUCUUUGAUGUCAUCAUCAUCUAAAAUUCAAGAUUAGAGGAUUUACAGAGUCAAUGUACCUCAAGUUACCAAAGAUCAUGAUAGUUUUGAAGACUUCAGUUCUACCCCUCCACAAUUUUUGAUGAGGCAGUCGAUACAUGUAUCUCGUAUAGUAUCUGAACCUAUGACAAAGACUGAAAAAGAUGUUCCGACAGGAAGAAGAUCAGAUCGUAAAAAACAAAUGCAGUUGCUAGAUGCAGAAAAAAACAGACAACAGAUAUGGAAGAAAAGAGUAAAGUUGAUGCUGAUUCAAUAUCCACAUUAAACAGGAAAGACCUUGUGGUUAAAGCGGACCUACAUUCAUUAGAGUCCGAAAUGAAGGCGUACAUGAAGACAUACAUUGAUCAAAAAUUCAAAGAUUUGGAGCGUCUGAUGAACGCUAGAUUCACUGAAGUUUUGAAUUCAUUGGAGUAAAAAAAUGAGAUUGUGAAGCAGGUAAGAUGCUUUAAAACAACACACAUUUAUUAACGAGUAUAUUGAAUUUAUUCAUGCUUUUCAUCCUUCAAUCUUAGGAAAAAAUUGCAAAACAAAGCCCAAAAGAGGCUACACAUUCAGAUGAUGUUGCUGAUUUUGAAUGCCAUACUAAUCCCUCAAUCCACAUUGUGUCUAAAAA